GUGCUCACUUCGGCAGCACAUAUACUAAAAUUGGAAUGAUACACAGAAGAUUAGCAUGGUCCCUGCGCAAGGAUGACAUGCAAAUUCAUGAAGCGUUCCAUAUUUUU
rnacentral:snRNA from 1 species